GACGAACGCUGGCGGCGUGCUUAACACAUGCAAGUCGAACGGAAAGGCCCUGCUUUUGUGGGGUGCUCGAGUGGCGAACGGGUGAGUAACACGUGAGUAACCUGCCCUUGACUUUGGGAUAACUUCAGGAAACUGGGGCUAAUACCGGAUAGGAGCUCCUGCUGCAUGGUGGGGGUUGGAAAGUUUCGGCGGUUGGGGAUGGACUCGCGGCUUAUCAGCUUGUUGGUGGGGUAGUGGCUUACCAAGGCUUUGACGGGUAGCCGGCCUGAGAGGGUGACCGGCCACAUUGGGACUGAGAUACGGCCCAGACUCCUACGGGAGGCAGCAGUGGGGAAUAUUGCACAAUGGGCGGAAGCCUGAUGCAGCAACGCCGCGUGCGGGAUGACGGCCUUCGGGUUGUAAACCGCUUUCGCCUGUGACGAAGCGUGAGUGACGGUAAUGAGUAAAGAAGCACCGGCUAACUACGU
rnacentral:rRNA from 1 species